GCCUUCGUGGUGUAAUGGUCAGCACACUGAGCCGGUCUUUCAGAGGUCCGUGGUUCGAUUCCCGGCGAAGGCA
rfam:Stegodyphus mimosarum contig25882, whole genome shotgun sequence.